rnacentral:rRNA from 1 species
AUGCAUUUGAAGAAAACCACAUUCAUGCUAGCUACUAUGCAGAUUAUUUUGAUUGCAGCUAAAGCUACAUUAUUGGGUUCUCUAUCCUUGAAGAAGCUUCAGACUUUCCAUGAAUCAUUGAACUACUAUGGAUACCUCUUCCUUAGCACAGGUAAACUAUUAUGUAUUUAUAUAUACAUGCUCAGGUUUCAUACAACUAUCGUACCGCUCAGUAAUGCCAAAGGGUGUUAUGCCUCAGAAAAUCCAUAUAAGGAACACUGCUUGGAUAAUUUUGAGUAUACCCUUUGUUUCUACUUCCUCUCUGAAGAUUUAUCGUUAGCCUGCUUCUUCUGCUGUGCGUGGCUAGCAACACUUCCUUCCAGUAAUCUUGAAGCAAAGCACAUGGGUUAUGUAGAAACGCAUCAGUCUAUAGAUCCUCGUGAAAAGUAUUAUCCUGCCAACGGAUACAUAAAUUUGUCUUUGUAUAACCAAUAA